GACGAACCGUCCGAACGUUAUUCGGAAUCACUGGGCUUAAAGGGUGCGUAGGCGGCGCGGCAAGUUGGGUGUGAAAUCCCUCGGCUCAACCGAGGAACUGCGCCCAAAACUACCGUGCUCGAGGGAGAUAGAGGUGAGCGGAACUUAGGGUGGAGCGGUGAAAUGCGUUGAUAUCCUAAGGAACACCGGUGGCGAAGGCGGCCUUCUGGACGGAUACUGACGCUGAGACGCGAAAGCGUGGGGAGCAAACAGG
rnacentral:rRNA from 1 species